GACGAACGCUGGCGGCGUGCUUAACACAUGCAAGUCGAACGGAAAGGCCCUGCUUUUGUGGGGUGCUCGAGUGGCGAACGGGUGAGUAACACGUGAGUAACCUGCCCUUGACUUUGGGAUAACUUCAGGAAACUGGGGCUAAUACCGGAUAGGAGCUCCUGCUGCAUGGUGGGGGUUGGAAAGUUUCGGCGGUUGGGGAUGGACUCGCGGCUUAUCAGCUUGUUGGUGGGGUAGUGGCUUACCAAGGCUUUGACGGGUAGCCGGCCUGAGAGGGUGACCGGCCACAUUGGGACUGAGAUACGGCCCAGACUCCUACGGGAGGCAGCAGUGGGGAAUAUUGCACAAUGGGCGGAAGCCUGAUGCAGCAACGCCGCGUGCGGGAUGAAGGCCUUCGGGUUGUAAACCACUUUCGCCUGUGACGAAGCGUGAGUGACGGUAAUGGGUAAAGAAGCACCGGCUAACUACGUG
rnacentral:rRNA from 1 species